CCUACGGGAGGCAGCAGUGGGGAAUAUUGGUCAAUGGACGCAAGUCUGACCCAGCCACGCCGCGUGAAUGAUGACGGUCCUCUGAUUGUUAAGUUCCGUGUUGGGGGAUGAACACAAUGACGGUACCCCAAUAGCAAGCCUCGGCUAACUACGUGCCAGCAGCAGCUGUAAUACGGAGGUGGCAAGCGUUAUGCGGAAUGAAUGGGCGUAAAGGGUGCGUAGACGGUGCAGUAAGUCUGAUGUGAAAGGUCGGGGCCCAACCCCGGGACUGCAUUGGCAACUGUUGGACUGGAGUACAGGAGAGGUAAGCGGAAUUCGUGGUGUAGCGGUGAAAUGCGUAGAUAUUAGGCGGAACACCAGUGGCGAAGGCGGCUUACUAGACUGUAACUGACGUUGAGGCACGAAAGCGUGGGGAGCAAACAGGAUUAGAUACCCGUGUAGUC
rnacentral:rRNA from 1 species